AUGCUCUGGAGAGUGCUAGGUGAGGUAAUUGAAAGCAAUCGAAUUAAUCAAAAUAUUAAAGUAUGGAAGAUAAAAUUAUAAUUGUUCUCAAGACGAAGAGAAGGUUAAACCGAUCUAAACUAGAAAUAGUAAAAGAGAUGAGAAUAUCUGAACUGAAACAUCUAAGUAAGAUAUAAGAAAACCAAAUGGGACUAUCAGAUUACCGGUGAGGGAAAUGAUGGGAGUAUUUAAGUAAUAUCAAGAGAUAUAAAGACAGUAGAACUACUACUAAUACUAAAAACAAUUAUAAAUAUAAAGUACCGCGAGGGAAAAUGUAAUAAAAGCAUUAAAUAUUUAAAUAAAAUAUAUAAAUAAAUAUAUAAAAUAAUUAAAUGAAGAUUAAUGAAGAAAUACUUUAAUAGAGAGCAGCUAUAGAAUAGUGUACCUCUUGUAUAAUGGGUCAGUGAGUUAUUAUUAUUAGCGAAAUAAUUAUAAUUAAAUAUAAUUAGAUAAAGAGUUAAGAAUAAUAGACCCGAAAGUAUAUGAUCUAUACAUUAUCAAGUAUAUUAUGUAUAAUUUAUGUAUAUAUAUAUAUAUAUAAUUUCUAUAAAACUUAUAUGAAUAUAUUGGUCUUUAUAUCUAAAUCAAUAUAAAGAAUUAAAUAUAAUUAGUAUGAGAUAGAGAUAUGUAAUAUGACUGAACAGGUUGGUGUAGCAAUACCUUCUGAAGAAUAAUGUAUUGAAGUGAAAGGCAAAUCUAAUAUACAGAUAGCUGGUUAUCUGCGAAAUAUAUCUCAGUAUAGCAUUUAAUGAAUAACACUAGGUAAAUCACUAAAUUUGAAACAAUGAAUAUAUAUCAAUAUAUUUAUUUAUGGGAGUUAUUAGAAUUUAUCAUACGAAUUUAAUAUCUGAACUAGUUGUUUAUAUAAAAAUUAAAUAGUCAAUCAUAGUGCGAUAAGGUACUAUGAUGAAAAGGAAACAACCUAGACUGUGAAAUGAAAGUCCUUAAUUAUUUUUAAGUGGUAUCAAUCUUAUAUUAUUAUAUAAUUUAUAUAAUAAAUUUCUAAUAAGACAAUUAAUCAGUGGAUAUGAUAGUAAUCAUCUGCUAGAGAACGUGUAACAACGCAUUAAUUGAUAUAUAGAUAAUAAGAGUAGAUAUACGGGCCUAUAAAAAUAGACUGAAUUACAGAUAUAUAAAAUAUGGUAGCAGAUUACACUAUAAAAAUAGUGAAGAAUAUGCUGACUUGAGUAACGUUAGAAGGGAUAAGCCCUUCCUCUGAUAUAUAUAAGGUUUUACAAAAUCAACGGUCUCUAAUUUGAUUAAUGAAUAUUAAUUAAAGAUGAGUAUUAUUACAAGAAAUUAAAUUAACCGUACCGUAAUCCGACUCUGGUAUAUAAAUUUAAUUAUAUUAAUGAUUAAAUCAAUUAAAAGAUUUAUAUAUAUUUAUAAUCUCAAUUAUAAUUAUAUAAGUAUAUAAUGAUAUUUAAUAAUGAUUUCUUCAAUUAAAUAAAUUAAGUAGAGGAGAAUGAGACAAUCCAUAUAAAUGAACUCGGCAAUAAAAGAUUAAACCUUUUAAAUAUAGUGCGACUGUUUACCAAAAACAUAGCCUAUUGCAGAUCUGUAAAGAUUAGUAUAAUAGGUGCUACCUGCCCAGUGUUAGAGAGAUAAUACAUAAUGCUUUAAUUAACGGCGGUCUUAUUAUGAGGAUCCGAAGGUAGCGAAAUUCCUAGACGUUUAAUUGGCGUCCUGCAUGAAUGAGUACACGAUGCUAUAAAUGUAUCUAUAUGGGCCUCAGUGAAAUAGUAAUUGCAGUGAAGAUACUGUAUAACAAUAGAUUGACGAGAAGACCCUAUACAGCUUUACUAUAGUGUUGCCUUAAUAUUAUAUUUCUUUAAAUAAUGUUAUUUAAAUGAAUUAAUAUAUAUUUAAUCAUUUCCAUUCUAUUACAAUUUAUAAUAAUAUAUUAUAUUCGAGUAGUAAUAGCAAUUAAUGAGACAGGGUAACAUGGUUAGUUUCGAUGGGGCGUCGACAUCACAAAAUAUAACUGAUGUGUCUAAAUGACAAAAAUGUAAUCUACUUUAUUAUGUUUUAAUAUUAGUUAUUAAACUUAAUAAGGUUAUAAUAGUAUGAAUAAAUACAGUAAUGCUAAAUGGUAAUUAGUUAUUUUAAUUAUAAUUUAUUCUAUAAUGGAAUUUAUAAUAAAAAUGAUAAAGAUAAUAAUAUAACUGUGUUAUGAUAAUUUAAUUUACAGAUUGAAUUAGUACGUAAGUAUGGUAUAGUGAACAGGCAAUAACUAAGUAUAGUAUGUCGAUAGCGAAUCAAAGUUACGUUAGGGAUAACAGGGUAAUACCGCUAGAGAGUUGAUAUCGUCAGCGGUGUUUGCCACCUCGAUGUCGUCUAGGCUCAACCUUAUGGCCGCAGCAGCUAUAAAGGGUAUGACUGUUCGUCAUAUAAAGAGCUACUUGAGAUGGGUUAAUUACGGCGUGAGCCAGUAAUGUUUCUAUCAUCUAUUGUAUUAUAAUAAACUUUAAAUUACAUGUGUACGAGAGGAUUAUGUAGUCUAAUCCAAUGGUUAUAAUAUAUAUUUAUAUAAAGAUAUAUUAUUAUAAGCUAAGAUUAGUAGAGGUAAAUAUUGACAGCAUAUCAAAUAUGAAACCUAUAACAGUUUAUUAUUAACAUUAAAGAUAAUAAUGAAAUAGUAUUAAUUAUUAUAAAGAUAUAAUAACUAAUAAGAAUUAAAUAUAAGUAUUUAAUGAAAUGAUUAAUGAAAUUGUAA
rnacentral:rRNA from 1 species